rnacentral:rRNA from 1 species
UAGACCCGAAACCGUGCGACCUACCCAUGAGCAGGAGGAAGCGAAAGUAAAAUGUCGUGGAGGGCCGCAACGUAGGGCGUUGAAAAGCGCGGGGAGGACGUGUGGGUAGAGGAGAAAUUCCAAUCGAGCCCGGAGAUAGCUGGUUCGCCCCGAAAUAGCUUUAGGGCUAGCCUCAAGGUGAGAGAUACGGAGGUAGAGCACGGAAUGUCCUAGGGGGUAUUGCACCGACCGAAGACUAUCAAACUCCGAAUGCCGUCAUCUUAUACUUGGGAGUCAGACUGUGGGUGAUAAGCUUCAUAGUCGAAAUGGCAACAGACCAGCUAGUCCGCUAAGAUCACUAAAUGCAUGCUAAAGGGUACAGAAUGGGUGAGCUUUGUCUAAUACA